UAAUGAAACUGAAACGCCUGGUUUUAGACCACAAUAAUUCAUUAGUAUGGUGUAGGGCCUCCUUUUGCGGCCAAUACAGCAUCAAUUCGUCUUGGGAAUGACCGAUACAAGUCCUGCACAGUGGCCAGAGGGAUUGUGAGCCAUUCUUUUUGCAGAAUAGGGGCCAGGUCACUACGUGAUGCUGGUGGAGGAAAACGUUUCCUGACUCGCUCCUCCAAAACACCCCAAAGUGGCUCAAUAAUAUUUAGAUCUGGUGACUGUACAGGCCAUGGGAGAUGUUCAACUUCACUUUCAUGUUCAUCAAACCACUCUGUCACCAGUCUUGCUGUGUGUAUUGGUGCAUUAUCAUCCUGAUACAUGGCACCACCUUCAGGAUACAAUGUUUGAACCAUUGGGUGCACAUGGUCCUCCAGAAUGGUUUGGUAGUCCUUGGCAGUGACGCGCCCAUCUAGCACAAGUACUGGGCCUAGGGAAAGCCAUGAUAUUGCAGCCCAAACCAUCACUGAUCCACCCCCAUGCUUCACUCUGGGCAUGCAACAGUCUGGGUGGUACGCUUCUUUGGGGCUUCUCCACACCGUAACUCUCCCGGAUGUGGGAAAGACAGUGAAGGUGGACUCAUCAGAGAACAAUACAUGUUUCACAUUGUCCACAGCCCAAGAUUUUCACUGCUGGCACCAUUGAAACCGACGUUUGGCAUUGGCACGAGUGACCAAAGGUUUGGCUAUAGCAGCCCGGCCAUGUACAUUGACCCUCCCGACAGACAGUUUUGGUGGAAACAGGAGAGUUGAGGUGCACAUUUAAUUCUGCAGUAAGUUGGGCAGCUGUGGUUUUAUGUUUUUUGUGUACAAUCCGGGUUAGCACCCGGACAUCCCUUCCAGACAGCUUCCUCUUGCGUCCACAGUUACUCCUGUUGGAUGUGGUUCGUCCUUCUUGGUGGUAUGCUGACAUUACCCUGGAUACGUGGCUCUUGAUACAUCACAAAGACUUGCUGUCUUAGUCGAAGAUGCGCCAGCGAGACGUGCACCAACAAUUUGUCCUCUUUUGAACUCUGAUACAUCACCCAUAAUGUUGUGUGCAUUGCAAUAUUUUAAGCAAAACUGUGCUAUUACUCUGCUAAUUAAACCUUCACACUCUGCUCUUACUGGUGGAAUGUGCAAUCAGUUAAGAUUGGCCACCAGGCUGGUCAAAUUUAGCCAUGAAUCCUCCAACACUAAAUUGGCCAGUGUUUCAGUUUCAUUGUCCAACCCCUGUAUAUACUACUCACAAAAAGUUAAGUAUAUUCGGCUUUCGGGUGAAAUUUCAGGAUGCACCUAAAAUGCACUAUAACCUUUACAGGUGAACUUAAUUUGACCUUCUCUACACUUUUGCACAUGUGCAACUGUUCAGUGUUUCAGUACUUUUUGCAUAACUUGCUGUUCUCUAACAAGGUGCUUAAUGGCAAAAUUCACAACUGGUGUUUGAGCCAUGAAUCGACCAAUACAUUUUCUGGUUCAAUUAGAGUUGGUAUUUAAACAGUCCUCUUCAUCAUGCUGUUCACAUUUUGACAUCAUGAGACACAUAACAAUUGAUCAACAGUACCUCACCAUUGCGAGGCUUCAAACAGGAUGUUCCACUGAGCUUAGAGUGUCACAGAGUAUCAUCAGCAGGUUGCGACAGAGAUACAGAGAGACUGGAAGAGUCACAGAAAGGCAUAGAAGUGGACGUCCUUUGUACUCUCAUCCCAUGUUGAUGACCGCUUCAUUGUGAACAGUGCCCUGCGGAACCGGAUGAUGAAUGCCACUCAACUCCAUUUAAGGGAGGUGAGAGGCAGACCAUUCAAAACCAUUUACAUCAGCGUGGUCUGCGUGAUAGACGACCUGCAAGGGUACCUGACCACACUACCAGGCACAGGCGUCAUCGUCUUGCAUGGGCCAGGAGCAUUUACGCUGGACGAGGGACGAGUGGGCCUCAGUGCUGUUCUCUGAUGAAAGUCAAUUCACGUUGAGCAGUAGUAAUGGCCGCCAACGAUGUUGGAGACGCCAAGGAGAGCGCUAUGCAUCAGCCACUGUUGUGGUGGUGUUACAGUCUGGGGAGGUGUAUCUACUCAAUACAGAACUGCCCUACAUCUUGUGAAUGGUACAGUGACAAGCCAAUACUACCUGAAUAACAUAAUUAAUCCAGUCAUUGUGCCCCUGUAUGAACAACACAGGCCUAAUUACAUCUUCAUGGAUGACAAUGCUCCAGCUCAUUGAGGUCGCAUCAUUAGGGAACGGCUGCUGGAGGCUGGGGUACCUCAAAUGGAGUGGCCUGCACUUUCUCCAGACCUGAAUCCCAUAGAAAACCUAUGAGAUCAGCUGAGUUGCCAUGUAGAGGCUCGUAACCCUGCACCCCAGAAUCUCAAUGACCUGAGGGCCGACCCUUCAAGAAGAGUGGAAUGUCAUGCCUCAGCAUGAGACGUCGUUGUCAAGCUGUAAUUGAUGGUCAAGGGCACAUGACAAAUUAUUGAGACAUUGACAUUUUUUGUUGUGGUAUACCCACCACUGUUGUUGGCUUUUGCUUCAAUAACUUGUUUGAGAUGAGGAAAUCACCAUUGCAUGCUUCUAUUUAAAUGCCCUACUUUCAUGAUAUAAUAUCACUGUAGUGUGAACUUUUUUUCCAUAAAUUUCACCCAAAAGCCAAAUAUCCGUAACUUUUUGUGAGUGUAUUUAUAUAUUUAUAUACCACUGAAACACCAUGGCACUAAUGAUUUUAAAUAAAAAAAAAGUGUAGUAAUCUAGUAAUAUAAAAAAGCAUCAGAAUAAAGACAGUACUGUUCUCUACCUUGCACAAUGUGUAAUUUCAACAUGAGAAUGAAUUAUUUUUCUAUUUUACUGCAUUUUCUGCUGAAGUUCGCAUUACCGCAACGCAUCUGGCUGUGUCUGAAUGUGUGUUAUGAUUUAAUUUAAACAAAUUAACAUAAAAAAAUUUAGAAAAAAAAUAAAUGGAUGUUCUACUAGAUUAUUCUAGAUGACAGAAUUUUUUUACUGAAUAUUCAUGUAUAAUAAUAAUGAAAAAAAGUAGGAAAAUGAUGUGUCCAUGCCUGAUGUUCUCAUCCUCCACAACACUUUUUGAGGACUGUUUAAACACACAUACAGAAUGUAAAUAAAGUUUGAUUAUGAGUGAUGGAGCACAUGGGACAGUUACUUCAAGAUGGUGAGCAGCAAAACAUCCUGAGGCACCUCAUCCUCCGCAACACCAUUCUCAUACACCGCAACCAUUUAAGGCCAGUUGUGACAAUCAGCAAGUGUGAAAAAAAAAGCUUUAGCAAAGGUCAGGGUGACAAAGUUCAGGGAAAAAUUCUACAGAAACCCAGAACUGCUGGAGGAGUACAGAAGAGGGAGAGAGAGGUUAGGUUUGGAGAUGUUACAGCAGGUAUAAUUAGCAAUAAACACCUAAUUAUAGUGUUAGGAAAUGUACAUGAGAGUAUACACACACACACACACAACCCUUUAGCCACUACUAUAACAGGACUUUGGUGCUGGACUGAGUGUACUGUUCAUACUGUGGGAAAUUCCCGCCACACUAAGGCAUGUAGGUCGUGUGAUUCUUAAUGUGACAGCAGCCUAAUAAAUUUGCUGCACAAUUUUGUUAUAAUUUAGUAAUUUAAUUACAUAAUAAAUAAACAGUUAUUUGUUCUUCUGUUAGUAAUUUGUUUUUUUAUUUUCUUGUUUACUUUACUUUUCAAUUCAUUUCAAAGACUAAAAUUAAGCUCUACCCCACCCCACAACUUCAGGCCCAGUAUAGAACACACACACACACACACACACACACAUAGAGUAAGCAUCAAGUCUAUACUAUAUGAUGAUGUUUACAUAAAAUGUUUUUCCCCCAUGUGAGAGACUAAUUUAAUGUAAUGCUUUCUUUCCGCUUCCAGGAAUCAAAAACAAACUGGCAAAAUAAAGAAAACUGAAGAGCUGACUAAGAAGCAACAUGAAAAGAAAAAAAGACAGUGGUCAGUUAUUUUUUAGUGCCAUGGUAAAAUGUUUUUAGGUAACCGUUAAAAUGUUGUCCUGUUUAUUCCUGUUUUAAUGUUUUUCAUAAUUGUUUUCUUUUGUAGUUUUGAACUUGAAUGCAUGAUUGUGUAAAUAUUAUCUGUUUCUUUCUGCAUUAUCUCAGACUAGUAUACAAGUCUCAGUACAAAUCUCAGACUAGUAUAGUUAUUAUCAUUACCGAAAUAAUUAACCUCAUUACUGAAACCUAUAUAUCAUUAUCGAAACUCAUGUUUAUUAGAUGUUAAUUUAAUUAAUAGAAAUAUAGUACUUUGAUUUUAAAUGCAUGUGCAGAAUCUUAACAUUAUGUUCUCUCAGGUUUGUCAUCAUUUUGAAAAAAUGUCAGGUUUCUUCGAAAUAUUUUUAAAAAAUAGUUGUAAAUUGUGGACGGUGUUGCAGUAAUGAGAGAAAUCAGUCAAAAUUUGAAAAACUGUUCAAUUAAAAAUAAAUAUUAUUUCAGAACUUGAAGUAACUGCAUGACUAUUAAUAAUCCAUUUUUAAAACUGUGAAAAUGUAUUUGCUUUUCUGUCAGUGUUGAUGUUUUCACAGUGUUGCGGUAUAACUUUCAUUUUCAGAGUCUUACACAGCUGCUUAGAGGAACCCAUGGUUGUUGAGUGUCCGCAAGUGUGUGCACAAGGUUUGAAGAGUCAAAGUAUUUGUAAAGCUUUGAAAUUGGCAUUUACUAAUGACAGCUGUUGCCAUGCAUCAGAUCUAACGAGCUGAUUAAGGUCUGAAACCUUUGUAAAAAGAAUCUGAGACUCUGGAACUCUUAGAGUGCCCAAACUUUUGCACAGUGCCAUAAUAAUGUUUUUAUUUUUGUUCAAUUUAUGGCAUAAGAAGUAACUAUGCAUCAAUGUUUGCUGAAAAUAUUGUGCAUUUUUUCCAUUUCCAAGAGAGACUGUGUUAACAUCUUUUCAAUUAAAAAAUCACCAAAAUCUGUUAUUUAUCAAGGGGUGCCUAAACUUUUGCAUAAGACUGUAUAUAUAUUUAUUUAUUACAUUUUUCACAUUAUUAAUACAAAGAAAAUUAAAUUUCAGAUUGAAUGCAUGUAUGCUAUUUGAGGAACUUGACCACAUGGGAGAUCUGAGGCCAUUUUCGGAUUAAAUUUACCACCCUAUCACAUGUUUUAUUGUGGUAAUGGAUGUGAUUGGGUGGUUCUGCUUCCCAUUUGAAUGUGUGAAACCAAGAAUUGUAAGAGAGGCUAAUCAAUUUUUAAACAGUAUUUUCGGUUAACUUAACCCUGUUUGGUUCAUUCACUCACUCACUAUAUCACUCAUACACAUAUUACUCACUUUCUCUUUCACUCACUCACUUACUCACUCACUCACUUACUACAUGUUUUUAAUGAAUAAUGUUACAUUUUAUAACACAGUUGCAGAUAGAUCUGUCUCCAUCAUGGCUGCUGUGAGACAAUGGUGAUACUGUGCACAGUGGGAUGCUGAUCCUGAGAGGAGGCAAAAAUAUCUAGAGAGUGAGCAUCAGAGAUGGAAACAGGAUGUAGAGCAAAGAAAAAAAAGAAGAUCAGUGAUCUAAGUGAGUGAGGGAAGUGUCAGCUGCGUAAAAAGUGGAGGAAGCAGAGGCUAGAAAGCACACUCCAGACUCCUGAUCCUGUCCAGCAGUCAAAAAACGAAAAGAAAAAAACAGCGGACAAGCUGGUGACCAACGGCUGUGACAUACCUGAUGCCCAUGAGCUAUAUAAGGCCCUCGCAGAAACAUCUGCAACCAUUAAGUAGUUUUAUGUAGCAUCUGAAGCAGGGGAGAGUGGCAAUGGAAAGGAUGCCAGGCCAGAUUCCACCAGUGUCAUCCACAAUGAAAACCCGUUCCACAAUCCACUAUCCACAAUGAAAGGAGAAAUCCUUUCCCGGGAAGUUAGUUGCAUGUGAACCAUUCAAAAGCAGCUGAGAUGUCAGUGCUUUAACACACAGCAUUUCAACUUUUAACAAGACAGCCCAAAAGCUGCCAAAAGAAGCAAGUGAUUGGAAAAGUGGAAAUCUAAUUGGAAAGUGGUGUGUGAUUAAAUAUGACAAUGAACUUUAUCUUGGGUACAUGGAUCAUGGAUACAGAUGAAACACAUGACCUUGUAAAAUGUAUGCACCAAGUUGGGGCCAACAGGUUCUUCUGGCCUCCAAGAGAUGACUUCCAGUGGUAUCUCUUUGAUGAUGUGCUCAAGCACCACAGCCUGUGACAUCCUGCCACAUGCAAAUCCAGAAGGAUGUGUGUAUGCGUCACUGUCACUGUUAUGAUGCUUAUUUCAGUUUUUCAGAGCAUGAGCAAGUUUCCCAUUACAUCUACUAUUUUAAUGUUUCCUCCAGUUUUUGUGUUUGGGAAUGUUUCUCCCAGUUUUUAAAGUUUAAACCAGCAGUUCAUAUAGAGAAACACUUUGUCCAUACCAUUCAUGACAGGGUCAUUUUGUUAAAUGUUGCACAAAUUAAUGUUGAACAAUG